rnacentral:rRNA from 1 species
UACGGGAGGCAGCAGUGGGGAAUAUUGGACAAUGGGCGAAAGCCUGAUCCAGCCAUGCCGCAUGAGUGAAGAAGGCCUUCGGGUUGUAAAGCUCUUUUAGUGAGAAAGAUAAUGACGGUACUCACAGAAGAAGUCCUGGCUAACUCCGUGCCAGCAGCCGCGGUAAUACGGAGGGUGCAAGCGUUAAUCGGAAUUACUGGGCGUAAAGCGCACGCAGGCGGUCUGUCAAGUCGGAUGUGAAAUCCCCGGGCUCAACCUGGGAACUGCAUUCGAAACUGGCAGGCUAGAGUCUUGUAGAGGGGGUAGAAUUCCAGGUGUAGCGGUGAAAUGCGUAGAGAUCUGGAGGAAUACCGGUGGCGAAGGCGGCCCCUGGACAAAGACUGACGCUCAGGUGCGAAAGCGUGGGGAGCAAACAGGGAUUAGAUACC